GCUAAAAGAUUAUACUGAAAAUAGAGCAAUGGAACACCACUUCCCACAUCAUUGAUUUGGGGUCCUGAAGUUUGCUCCAAGCUGUUACAUCAGCUGGAUACCAGUGGGAUCUCCAUGCUCUCUCAUUGCAACACAUCCCCUCCUCACCCUUUGAGGAAGAUAUCUCUGUGGAAGUACCAGCAGGGUUGCUUUCUGUACCCUCCCCCAACUCCACCCAGCUGCUCUGACACUGACACCUCAGUGAGUAUUGUCAUGAGGUUAGAAUCGGGCGCACCUGAUGGCAAGCACUUCACUGCGAUGUCUCCACAGCUGGUUCAGGAAGAAAUGGACAACUUGGUUUGCACUCAGAGGAUUACCAGAGACCAGGCACCUUCUGAGCACCAGACAGGAGGGGACCCUAAGGUAGCUGACAGCCUGGGGCUGUGAACAAGAGACAGAGAAGCCCUUAAUUCUCCAUCAGCUCAGAAGCUUUCCCUUUUCUAUGCAGUGAAAUCCACUUUA